CAACAGAUUCGAGAUUCAUUCAUUUUUUUUUCAUUUUUUUCAUUUUUUUCAUUUUUUUCAUUUUUUCGUUU
rnacentral:ribozyme from 14 species